GAGGUUUUAUCUCUUGGCUCAGGACCCACCUCUAAUCCCUCUCCCUGCAGCAACAAAGACGGACCCACUAAUUGAAAACCCUUUGCAGCUCCACCUUCCUCACCUCUGUCCUUUAUUCCUGUAGGGAGCAGGCACUGGUUGCCUGCUGGAAGAUGGCACAUCUCGCACACAGCUCUGCCUGUGUAAUGCUGCCUGAUUUGCGUAGGACCUAAUCCAUGAGCACCACCUCGAAAAUACCAAGCAGCCCCAACACCCUUUAAAAGACAGCCGGAGGGAAAACAACCUCAGAAAGGCCUUCAACAUGCACGUAGCACUUUGCAGAGUUCAUGGGAACACAGUGUACCUCAGAAAAGACAACGGGAUGCAAUCAUUUCCUCCCAUCUUCCCCAUUAAAGUAGUAUGGGGACUCCUGCUGAGUCAGGCUUGCAAAUGCUAAGGAAUGCAUAAACUUGUUUAUUGCAGUCGACCUUUGAAUGAAAGUUGCCAGUGCAUCAUUUCCUCUCUGCAUAUACCCUGUCUUUACGUGGCCAUCUCGUAUUUUUUCCUGCGUGGGAUUAUGUUACCUCAAUCAGCAGGGAUAAACUCCUGAGAACUAAAUACAGA